GAACGCAUUAGCUCAGUGGUAGAGCACAUGCCUCGCACGCACAAGGUCCUGGGUUCAAUCCCCAGUACCUCCA
rfam:Camelus ferus unplaced genomic scaffold scaffold319, whole genome shotgun sequence.